UAAGAAUGGCACUCCCUUCAUGAGGUAAGGA
rnacentral:piRNA from 1 species